AGGCCAAGCCAGAUUUACUCGAAAUCAGAAUCGACAGCAGUCAUGUGCGGCAGCACUUAUGCUCGGACUAGCAGAAAAAAAAAAGAGGCUGCAGUUUUGCAGAAAGGCGAAGCAGUGUUAGUGAUAGCCAAGUAUGCGACAAUUACACGAAGGAAGAUUACACCAGCAAGGGGACUCAGGCUGUGAAAUUGAACUGUCUCCUACUAUGAGGUCUUGUAUAUACUUAGCGCCGUUACUUCAGUGCUCAAGUCUUCGAGGUCAAACGAAGUUUCUUGAAGUGCAAGAAAUAUAUAUAUAUAUAUGUAUCGUAAGGAACCGCUUUAUUCCAGCCAAGCUCGGACUACUACCUCGAGGAUUAAACUGUGCUGCUAGUGAUGAUAUAUGCAGAUGAAAAAGAUGUGCAGAUGAUGAAGUUGAAAGUCAGGCAUGUGUUGUGCCCAUGCUAAUUCUCUCUCGCUGUGGAAGCGGCCGCCUGGCUGCGCGAAGCCAUCAUCUGGUGCUGUGUACAGCAAGCACAUGCUUCGGGCAAGGAGGGAGCCAGCACCAUAUCUACAUCAGCAAGAACCUCGGUGCUCAAAAUAAACAUUUUCUGUGCAAA
rnacentral:lncRNA from 1 species